AUGAACGCUGGCGGCGUGCCUAAUACAUGCAAGUCGAGCGAACGGACGAGAAGCUUGCUUCUCUGAUGUUAGCGGCGGCCGGGCGAGUAACACGUGGAUAACCUACCUAUAAGACUGGGAUAACUUCGGGAAACCGGAGCUAAUACCGGCUAAUAUUUUGAACCGCAUGGUUCAAAAGUGAAAGACGGUCUUGCUGUCACUUAUAGAUGGAUCCGCGCUGCAUUAGCUAGUUGGUAAGAUAACGGCUUACCAAGGCAACGGUGCAUAGCCGACCUGAGAGGCGGCUCUGCCACACCGGAACUGAGUCACGGUCCAGACUCAUACGGUAGGCGAGGGUAAGGAAUUUUCCACGAUGGGCGCGAUCGUGAAGGAGUAGCGCCGCGUUAGUGAUGAUGGUCUUCGGAUCGUAGAACUCUGUUAUUAGAGAAGAACAUAUGUGUAAGUAACUGUUCACAUCGUUGCGGUACCUAAUCAGAAAGCCACGGCUAACUACGUG
rnacentral:rRNA from 1 species